CCCAUUUUUUCUCUCCCCUCAUGCUUCCCUGCUCGAAACCGUGAACUUCCAAGGCAUUCCGGUCAUCUCUGGCGUCCGACGGGGUCGGUCUGACGACUGACCACCGGCGGUUUCAAAUGAUGGCCGAUACGUCGCCACGGUAGGACGGCGAGACCGAGACUGCCCCAUGGUGGCGUCCUCUCUCUAGCACCCAACUUCUUUUCCUAUUCCUUUCGCUAGGUUUUCAUUGCUUUAAAGUUUUGGGUUCGAUCGGAAAAUUUUCAGCGGCCAACCUCGGGCGACCAGCGAGGCCACCACAAACCGAGACUUCAGCUUUUCUGGACACGGACUGCUAUUCCAGAGGCCAAGCGAUGUGCUAAGCUUGUGAAGCAAGGUGUAUCUAACCGCUGUACAAUGAAGCGUUGCAGGCUUGGAAGCUGUGGAAGAGAAACAGUGCCAUGCGUUGAUUGAUUGAUGAGGCGAUGGGCCAGUCCUAGGAAACAGUUUUAUCCAGUUCAAGUUAGGUUGCUUUCUAAGAUGUGGGAGGCAAUGGGGUUUGUUAGAAUGUAGUUGCAUUGCCUAGGGAAAAUGCCUGAUUAUGCGGAGCCUUUUGUUGUCUCUACUUGAGGUAAAUGCCUUAUGUUAUUUUAGUAAUUUGGUUGCCUAGAUUUGAGUUAGUGUUAUCGUCUUAUUAGUAUUACCAUGCACUUUAUGUGCAUGUAAAUUUUAGGAGAAUUACCCAAUUUCAAUGAUUUUGUUAUAUUUUCAAACUGUAGUCAGCAAUUCGACAUCAUAUACUAUGUUGUUAAGUACAACCAGGCAAAGUGAUGCGAAUGCUUGUGAAGCAACGCGUAUAUGAGCAAUGUAUAGUGAAGCGUAAGUUUCAGGUUAAAAAUAAUGUAGUAUAUAAUGUUAUGUGUUCCUUUCUCACGCCAAAAUAAGAAAUGAAGGAUGACACUAUUUUGUCAUUUGCCAUGCAGAUAGAAAAUUUAAUUUGUUGUCAUCAACAAUUUUACAUCUAAGUUUGAGAAUUAUUUAAUAAGUAUUGCAAAUGAAAAAAAAACAUUAUUUUCGUUUAUUUAGACAACACGCUUAUGAGAGCACCUAUUUCAUCCACUAGUUGCAAGUUCAAUAAAUGCAUUCAAAUCUACGAUUUUAUCCAACAUUUUUUAAAUUAGACGAUUUCAUUCAACAUGCGGUGUGAUUUCAACCUACACUAGCUAAAGUUUGUCUUGUUGUAGAUAAAAGAAAACAAAAACCUAACUAUAUGAAAUAGGAAAAUGGUUAACCACAAAAUAGAGAGAGGGAGGGUGAGAUGAGCGAUAGUCAGCUGAGGAGGUGUCUGCGAAGGUUGAGGUGUACGCUUUAUGCAUUGUGACGUGCGCUUCAAAUAACACGGGCAGUAUAUUUUAUGCUUGUGUGGUAGGGUUACCGCAAGGUAUACCGGUGGUAAACGUCUGUUACGGACCCUACUCUAGGUCCGAACCCAACAGGCACCGAGCAGGCCGAGCCCAGCAGAUAAGGGCGCAAACCCAUGCCUAUGUUGGCUCAAACGUUAGAAGAUGGGUCGGAAGAGCCUAAGGAGGUUAAGCUAGCACUCGAGCAGGUUGCAGCAGGAGGAGUGGGUGGAGCAACAAGGUCCGAGUAUGAGCAACAAAAGGAUGAUCAUCAAUGCCAAAUUGAACCGAUGUUAGGACUUUCAGGUAUAGAUAAGUCUAAACCUAUCUCAAGUCCUAAUCCGCGAGCACUUGAGGCGAUCUAGGACCAAGCUCCUAGGCAAAUGGGCUAAGUCACCCAGGCUUAGCACGGAUCUAAAUCCAAAGUUCAGGCAGUUCCCCAAACGAGGUCCCCCACCUUGGGCUCACAAAGCUCAAGGGCGUUUGAUUUGAGUUGGGCGCUAGGCCUGUUUUUUAUUAUGCACUUUGCUUCUAAGUACUUUGCUUAAGCAUUUGAUUUCAUGUAAUUAUGAGACGGGUUGUGUUUCGAUUCGUUUUGUUUGGACCGGUUCUAUAGGCUUAAGAACCGAGUCAUUUGCUCUUGUA